AUUAUGUCCAUCUUUCUUAUACCUGUCUACCAAAUACAAGUAAUCAAAGACCUAAACUUUAACGUAGCAAAUACAAUUUCUAUCUAUAUUUCUCAUAGCCCAUCGCAUUAUUCUUUUGAUAGCUUUCUUCCAAAAGGUUGCACCUUAAAAAAAAAAAAAUUAACAUAUAGGGUGACUUUAGACUUAUUUACCAAAAUCUAGGUUUGGUUUUUCGUUUCGGCUGAAAACCAUGGAUGACGAACGAAUAUGCAAAUUUCAUCACGUUAAUAGUUAACUAAGGUAGUUGGUACAAAACCGAAUAACCGGAUUCUUUAAAUUUGUAAACAGAAUCGAACCGCAUUGCUGUAGACAGAACCAUCAGAUCAUGGACACUACCAUCCCAAUACAAUCAAUCAAAAUAUUAAUUAAUUAGCUUUGAAAAAGAAUACCAUUAAUUUGCCACAAGUUGCAGGAGAAUUCUAGAAACGAUGCAGUAUUUCUUCGGGGAAUUUGGUCAAAUAACUGAAUUACAAGACAGAACUCCCAAAACUACCAUCCACGAAAUUUAUUUGCAAUGAACUUCUGAAAAGAAAAAUUAUAUAACCCAACCAGAUUGCAUGAAUUUGCAAACAAAAUUCUUCGGCACAGAUCAAGGGCAAGGCUAAUCAAUUGGAGACGUAAGGUUGAGUUUUCGUACCUACCAGCUGUUGGGAAAGGA
rnacentral:misc_RNA from 1 species